rnacentral:rRNA from 1 species
CUUGGUCAUUUAGAGGAAGUAAAAGUCGUAACAAGGUUUCCGUAGGUGAACCUGCGGAAGGAUCAUUCAUAAUAAGUGUUUUAUGGCACUUUUUUAAAUCCAUAUCCACCUUGUGUGCAAUGUCAGGGUUGGUCUCUUGAAAAAGAGAUCAGCCCCAAACAUCAACCCAAUCUUAACUCUUUGUCUGAAAAAUAUUAUGAAUAAAACAAUUCAAAAUACAACUUUCAACAACGGAUCUCUUGGCUCUCGCAUCGAUGAAGAACGCAGCGAAAUGCGAUACGUAAUGUGAAUUGCAGAAUUCAGUGAAUCAUCGAAUCUUUGAACGCAUAUUGCGCUCUUUGGUAUUCCGAAGAGCAUGCUUGUUUGAGUAUCAGUAAACACCUCAAAGCCUUUUUUUGUUAAGAGGCCUUGGACUUGAGCAAUCCCAACACUUUUCCUCCAAGAAAGGUGGCGGGUUGCUUGAAAUGCAGGUGCAGCUGGACAUUCUCCUGAGCUAAAAGCAUAUUCAUUUAGUCCCGUCAAACGGAUUAUUACUUUUGCUGCAGCUAACAUAAAGGGAGUUUGACCAUUUUGGCUGACUGAUGCAGGAUUUUCACAAGAGUCUUCAAAAGCUUUUGUUAAACUCGAUCUCAAAUCAAGUAAGACUACCCGCUGAACUUAAGCAUAUCAAUAAGCGGAGGA